UCCUGGUCCCAGAGCAGUGGUGUUUACUAAUACCUCACAACUGUUAAAGAUUCCUUUGUUCCUUCCCCACUCCCAAUGCUUCACUUGACCAGCCUUAA
ensembl:misc_RNA Y_RNA Y RNA